CACGUAGGGGGCGAGCGUUGUCCGGAUUUAUUGGGCGUAAAGGGCUCGUAGGCGGCUCAGUAAGUCGGGUGUGAAACCUCCAGGCUCAACCUGGAGACGCCACUCGAUACUGCUGUGGCUAGAGUCCGGUAGGGGAGCAUGGAAUUCCUGGUGUAGCGGUGAAAUGCGCAGAUAUCAGGAGGAACACCAGUGGCGAAGGCGGUGCUCUGGGCCGGAACUGACGCUGAGGCGCGAAAGCGUGGGGAGCAAACAGG
rnacentral:rRNA from 1 species